rnacentral:rRNA from 1 species
CAGUAGCCACGGGAAUACGUAGGGUGCAAGCGUUAAUCGGAAUUACUGGGCGUAAAGCGUGCGCAGGCGGUUAUAUAAGUCAGAUGUGAAAUCCCCGGGCUCAACCUGGGAACUGCAUUUGAGACUGUAUGGCUAGAGUGUGUCAGAGGGGGGUAGAAUUCCACGUGUAGCAGUGAAAUGCGUAGAUAUGUGGAGGAAUACCGAUGGCGGAGGCAGCCCCCUGGGAUAACACUGACGCUCAUGCACGAAAGCGUGGGGAGCAAACAGGAUUAGAUACCCGAGUAGUCCCUGUCUCUUAUAA